UGGAAUGUUCGGUGGAGGGGUGAAAUCCGUUGAGAUCGAGCAGAACGCCAAUGGCGAAAGCAGGUUUCCUGGGGUAUUCCUGACGCUCAGGUACGAAAGCUAGGGGAGCAAACGGGAUUAGAGACCCCGGUAGUCCUAGCCGUAAACUAUGAAUACUAGCUGCUUCUUUUUAAGGGGUGGCGUAAGCUAACGCGUUAAGUAUUCCGCCUGGGUAGUACGGCCGCAAGGUUAAAACUCAAAGGAAUUGACGGGGGAGCGCACAACCGGUGGAGCAUGUGGUUUAAUUCGAUACGAAGCGAAAGACCUCACCUGGGUUUGACAUGUAAUUGCAAAUCCCUGGAAACAGGGACUCUUUCGAAGGUAUUACACAGCUGCUGCAUGGCUGUCGUCAGCUCGUGUCGUGAGACGUCCGCUUAAGUGCGGUAACGAGCGCAACCCCUGCCGCGUGUUAAAUAGUCACGUGGGACUGCCUUACAGCAAGUAGGGAGGAAGGAGGGGACGACGUCAAGUCAGCAUGGCGCUUACAUCCAGGGCCACACACAUCCUACAAUGGGAAGUAAUAACGGGUCGCGACGGGGUAACCCUGAGCCAAUCCUUCAAACCUUCCCUCAGUUCAGAUUGAGGGCUGCAACCCGCCCUCAUGAAGUCGGAAUCGGUAGUAAUCGC
rnacentral:rRNA from 1 species